UUUACUUUUCGCGGCAUUAAAGUGUUUGGCUAAUAACGAGAUAAACGAGAUUUAAAGUGUGUAUUGUUUUUAAAAUGUACUCAUUUAUGACUGUGCCUCAACUAAAAGCCGAGCUUCGUAAAAGAAAUGCAACAACUGCCGGUAAAAAAGCUGAUUUGAUUGAAAGAUUACGAACGUAUGAUCAAAACCAAAAUUUUUGUGCUGACUGCGACAUCCAAGAGGACCCUGCAUACGUAUGU